GUGCAGCAGGCGAGAAACUUCCACAAUGGGGGAAACCCUGAUGGAGCGACGCCGCGUGCGGGAUGAAGGCCCUAUGGGUUGUAAACCGCUGUUCAGUGGAAAGAACAUCCUCCGGCUGAAUAGGUCGGAGGCCUGACGUUACCACUGCAGAAAGUCCCGGCCAACUCCGUGCCAGCAGCCGCGGUAAUACGGGGGGGACGAGCGUUGUCCGGAAUCAUUGGGCGUAAAGGGCGCGUAGGCGGCGAGGAAAGUCGAAUGUGAAAUCUUGCGGCUCAACUGCAAAACUGCGUUCGAAACUUCCUCGCUUGAGUAUGAGAGAGGUGUGCGGAAUUCCUGGUGUAGCGGUGGAAUGCGUAGAUAUCAGGAGGAAC
rnacentral:rRNA from 1 species